CAGUCGCCGCGGGAAUACGUAGGGUGCAAGCGUUAAUCGGAAUUACUGGGCGUAAAGCGUGCGCAGGCGGUUAUGUAAGACAGAUGUGAAAUCCCCGGGCUCAACCUGGGAACUGCAUUUGUGACUGGCAAGCUAGAGUAUGGCAGAGGGGGGUGGAAUUCCGCGUGUAGCAGUGAAAUGCGUAGAUAUGCGGAGGAACACCGAUGGCGAAGGCAGCCCCCUGGGCCAAUACUGACGCUCAUGCACGAAAGCGUGGGGAGCAAACAGGAUUAGAUACCCGGGUAGUCCCUGUCUCUUAUAC
rnacentral:rRNA from 1 species